AGGGGUGUAGCUCAGUGGCAGAGCACUUGCCUAGCAUGUGUGAGCACCUGGGUUUAAUCCCCAGCACCGUAA
rnacentral:tRNA from 1 species